UACGUAGGGUGCAAGCGUUGUCCGGAAUUAUUGGGCGUAAAGAGCUCGUAGGCGGUCUGUUGCGUCGCUGUGAAAACCCGAGGCUCAACCUCGGGCCUGCAGCCGAUACGGGCAGACUAGAGUUCGGCAGGGGAGACUGAAAUUCCUGGUGUAGCGGUGAAAUGCGCAGAUAUCAGGAGGAACACCCGAUGGCGAAGGCAGGUCUCUGGGCGAUUAAACUG
rnacentral:rRNA from 1 species